GACGAACUGUCCUAACGUUGUUCGGAAUCACUGGGCUUAAAGGGCGCGUAGGCGGUCCGACAAGUCAGGGGUGAAAUCCUGCAGCUUAACUGCAGAAGUGCCUUUGAUACUGUCGGUCUUGAGGGAGAUAGGGGUGUGCGGAACUCACAGUGGAGCGAUGAAAUGCGUUGAUAUUGUGAGGAACGCCGGAGGCGAAAGCGGCGCACUGGAUCUCUUCUGACGCUGAGGCGCGAAAGCUAGGGGAGCAAACGGG
rnacentral:rRNA from 1 species